rnacentral:rRNA from 1 species
GAUGAACGCUGGCGGCGUGCCUAAUACAUGCAAGUCGAGCGAAUGGAUUAAGAGCUUGCUCUUAUGAAGUUAGCGGCGGACGGGUGAGUAACACGUGGGUAACCUGCCCAUAAGACUGGGAUAACUCCGGGAAACCGGGGCUAAUACCGGAUAACAUUUUGAACCGCAUGGUUCGAAAUUGAAAGGCGGCUUCGGCUGUCACUUAUGGAUGGACCCGCGUCGCAUUAGCUAGUUGGUGAGGUAACGGCUCACCAAGGCAACGAUGCGUAGCCGACCUGAGAGGGUGAUCGGCCACACGGGGACUGAGACACGGCCCAGACUCCUACGGGAGGCAGCAGUAGGGAAUCUUCCGCAAUGGACGAAAGUCCGACGGAGCAACGCCGCGUGAGUGAUGAAGGCUUUCGGGUCGUAAAACUCUGUUGUUAGGGAAGAACAAGUGCUAGUUGAAUAAGCUGGCACCUUGACGGUACCUAACCAGAAAGCCACGGCUAACUACGUGCCAGCCGCCGUAAGAC